rnacentral:rRNA from 1 species
GUGAUCAUACCAGCACUAAUGCACUGGAUCCCAUCAGAACUCCGAAGUUAUGCGUGCUUGGGCGAGAGAAGUACUAGGAUGGGUGACCCCCAGGGAAGUCCUCGAGGUUGUAAAUA